GCAGUCUUGCUUCCUCCGGCAUCUGCUAUUUUGUGGUGAAUAAGCAAAAAGCAGCAAUUCUGGCAUUUUAAUGUCAGUGCUAUCCUGACAUUCCCCAGGAGCCUGUGCCAGAGAGCAGGAAAUGCUGGAGGCAGGCUUGGGGCCUACACUAGUGCUUAAGGCCCCUUGGUGUCCGCGGUAAAAAGGCGUAUUGGUGGUCACUAAGGGGGAUGAUGAAGAUGUUGCGGCUGUGUCUGGUACUGUACUUCAAUAUCAAUCUAUAAUCAUGGCAUUUGCUUUUCA